ensembl:lncRNA
CAAGUGUCCCCGGGGCCUGCGGGAGCCGGACUUCCUGGACCUGCUCCGGUCCUCCUUCCCUCAGCAGUGCGGCGGCGACGGGCGCUUCGAGGUCCUGACGUCGGACCGGCGGCGGCGGCUGAGGCCUCUGAGGGUGGCGGCGCUGACGGCGGAGGAGAUCGACAGGAACGCCGGCGGCUCGGGGGGGAAGUCCACCAUCUACAUCCGACUCAAGACAAACACGGGUCCACAGGCCGCCGCCGCCGGCGAAGACGCAGCUGGACCUCGGAGAUUU